AUGAGGAUCCUGCUUAAUGCAGCUGUAAGGUUAUUUUGCUCACAACAGGAGCUUGUGCAGAACAUUCAGGAUGCAGGGAUGGGCCAGCAGGUGGCUGUAGAUGGCAGCGGCUGCCUGGAAUGGGGCAGGUCUCAGGAUGCUGGAGGAGACCCGGAGCAGGCUCACCGGUCAUUAAUACCAGUUUGGUGCUGGAUGAGAUUGCUUCUGGGAUGCUUCUGUAGCUUUUGGCUCUGGCUAAAUAGCAGGAGAGCUCCCAAUAGCAGGAGUCAUAUGACCAUGCUCUUGUGCACUUGUGAAUGGAAAAUCAUGUGUCUUCUUCAUAAAUCACAGGAAUAUAAAGACCAGAUGUGAUGUUCAGAGCUCCCAAAUAUUCGCAUAAGAAUGGGCCAAUGCUAGCAAAGAAAUAUGAAAAGAGAAUAAUAUGUGCUAUGUGUUUUACUUUGCUUUAAUACUGAAUGUAAGUGGAG
rnacentral:lncRNA from 1 species